rnacentral:rRNA from 1 species
GCAGUCGAGGGGUAACAGGGAGUGCUUGCACUCUGCUGACGACCGGCGCACGGGUGCGUAACGCGUAUGCAACCUACCUUCUACAGGGGGAUAGCCCAGAGAAAUUUGGAAUAAUACCCCAUACGAUCUUCGAUUGGCAUCGAUUGAAGAGGAAAACUUCGGUGGUAGAAGAUGGGCAUGCGUCCUAUUAGUUAGUUGGUGAGGUAACGGCUCACCAAGACAUCGAUAGGUAGGGGCCCUGAGAGGGGGAUCCCCCACACUGGUACUGAGACACGGACCAGACUCCUACGGGAGGCAGCAGUGAGGAAUAUUGGACAAUGGAGGCAACUCUGAUCCAGCCAUGCCGCGUGCAGGAAGACUGCCCUAUGGGUUGUAAACUGCUUUUAUACAGGAAGAAACCUACUUACGUGUAAGUAGCUGACGGUACUGUAAGAAUAAGGAUCGGCUAACUCCGUGCCAGCAGCCGCGGUAAUACGGAGGAUCCAAGCGUUAUCCGGAAUCAUUGGGUUUAAAGGGUCCGUAGGUGGUUAAUUAAGUCAGAGGUGAAAGCCUAUCGCUCAACGAUAGAACUGCCUUUGAUACUGAUUAACUUGAGUUAUUGUGAAGUAGUUAGAAUAUGUAGUGUAGCGGUGAAAUGCAUAGAUAUUACAUAGAAUACCGAUUGCGAAGGCAGAUUACUAACAAUACACUGACACUGAGGGACGAAAGCGUGGGUAGCGAACAGGAUUAGAUACCCUGGUAGUCCACGCCGUANACGAUGGUCACUAGCUGUUCGAUCAACAUUGGUUGGUUGAGUGGCUAAGCGAAAGUGAUAAGUGACCCACCUGGGGAGUACGCUCGNCAGAGUGAAACUCAAAGGAAUUGACGGGGGCCCGCACAAGCGGUGGAGCAUGUGGUUUAAUUCGAUGAUACGCGAGGAACCUUA